GGCAAGGUGGCUUAGUGGUUAGCACGCUUGCCUCGUACACCUGGGGUUCGCGGUUCGAUUCUCAUCCCUGCUC